AUUGAACGCUGGCGGCAUGCCUUACACAUGCAAGUCGAACGGCAGCACGGGGGCAACCCUGGUGGCGAGUGGCGAACGGGUGAGUAAUACAUCGGAACGUGUCCUGUAGUGGGGGAUAGCCCGGCGAAAGCCGGAUUAAUACCGCAUACGACCUGAGGGAGAAAGCGGGGGAGCUUCGGACCUCGCGCUAUAGGGGCGGCCGAUGGCAGAUUAGCUAGUUGGUGGGGUAAAGGCCUACCAAGGCGACGAUCUGUAGCUGGUCUGAGAGGACGACCAGCCACACUGGGACUGAGACACGGCCCAGACUCCUACGGGAGGCAGCAGUGGGGAAUUUUGGACAAUGGGGGCAACCCUGAUCCAGCAAUGCCGCGUGUGUGAAGAAGGCCUUCGGGUUGUAAAGCACUUUUGUCCGGAAAGAAAACUUCGUCCCUAAUAUGGAUGGAGGAUGACGGUACCGGAAGGAUAAGCACCGGCUAACUACGUGCCAGCAGCCGCAGUAA
rnacentral:rRNA from 1 species